ensembl:snoRNA small nucleolar RNA, H/ACA box 51
CUCCUCCCCACGCUUACCACAGGCAGCUCGUGCUCCGGCUGCCUGUACAGAACGGGGAGGGAGAGCACGGCCCCGAGUGCACCCCGGCCGGGGAGACCGUGCCCCGGCUGGAUUGUGAGCGGGGACACACGC